AAUAGAUUGGUUUUCUUUUCCGAGCGGGCUUAUUGUAAAGGAGGGAGGAGGCAAUGGUGCUUUGGGCAUUAGUGAAUUACAUGAUUCCCUCCGUCCCUCUCUUUACCACCACCCCCCCCCCCACGGGACCCACAAAAGAGCAGAUCGUCCUCUUUUGAAGAAAAUGGUUCAGUCCUGCCUGCCCGAUUUUAAGAUGGAUUUCACGAGCUUUGCAGCUUCGGAGGCGAUUUGGGUUCUUUGUUCAAAGGAGCCCCCUCUUUGGUUGUUGGUACGUGGGCUGGGUGAAGGCUUUUUCCAAGCAGGGUUUGUAAGCCAGAGACAUCUGCUUUUCUUCUAAGGUAACUUCCAUGAAUUCUGUGACCCAAGAUCCUGACGUACACAGGAAUGAACCAAGACAUCCAAAGCAAAACAUAGUAACUAAAGCAGGCCACAUAAUUUGGCCUUAAUGCAGAUAUGACACCAUUUCCUCUUUCUAAAAUAUAGCUAUAAUAAAUCAUAUUUCACUCUU